rnacentral:rRNA from 1 species
GCUACCUACGGGGCGCAGCAGUGGGGAAUAUUGCACAAUGGGGGAAACCCUGAUGCAGCAACGCCGCGUGAAGGAAGACGGUUUUCGGAUUGUAAACUUCUGUUCUUAGUGAAGAAGAAUGACGGUAGCUAAGGAGCAAGCCACGGCUAACUACGUGCCAGCAGCCGCGGUAAUACGUAGGUGGCAAGCGUUGUCCGGAUUUACUGGGUGUAAAGGGUGCGUAGGCGGCUUGGCAAGUCAGUAGUGAAAUCCAUGGGCUUAACCCAUGAACUGCUUUUGAAACUGUCGAGCUUGAGUGAAGUAGG